rnacentral:snoRNA from 1 species
UACCUUUAAGUAAACCGGAGCAUUAUUUUGAAAUAACAAAGUUUAGGGAGGGAAAGCAAGCCUGGCAGAGGCACCCAUUCCAUUCCCAGCUUGCUCCGUAGCUGGCGAUUGGAAGACACUCUGCGACAGUG